AUUGAACGCUGGCGGAAUGCUUUACACAUGCAAGUCGAACGGUAGAGGGGGCAACCCCUUGAGAGGUGGCGAACGGGUGAGUAAUAUAUCGGAACGUGCCCAGUCGUGGGGAUAACGUAGCGAAAGUUACGCUAAUACCGCAUACGAUCUAAGGAUGAAAGCGGGGGAUCGCAAGACCUCGCGCGAUUGGAGCGGCCGAUAUCAGAUUAGGUAGUUGGUGAGGUAAAGGCUCACCAAGCCAACGAUCUGUAGCUGGUCUGAGAGGACGACCAGCCACACUGGAACUGAGACACGGUCCAGGACUCCUACGGGAGGCAGCAGUGGGGAAUUUUGGACAAUGGACGCAAGUCUGAUCCAG
rnacentral:rRNA from 1 species